UACCUACGGGGCGCAGCAGUGGGGAAUAUUGCACAAUGGGGGAAACCCUGAUGCAGCGACGCCGCGUGAGUGAAGAAGUAUUUCGGUAUGUAAAGCUCUAUCCGCAGGGAAGAAGAAAGACGGUACCUGACUAAGAAGCCCCGGCUAACUACGUGCCAGCAGCCGCGGUAAUACGUAGGGGGCAAGCGUUAUCCGGAUUUACUGGGUGUAAAGGGAGCGUAGACGGCUGUGCAAGUCUGAAGUGAAAGCCCAGG
rnacentral:rRNA from 1 species